rnacentral:rRNA from 1 species
UACGUAGGAGGCAAGCGUUGUCCGGAAUUACUGGGCGUAAAGAGCGCGUAGGCGGCACUGUACGACCGCUGUGAAAGCCCCCGGCUCAACUGGGGAGGGUCAGUGGUAACGGCAGAGCUGUGAGUGCAGGAGAGGGAAGUGGAACUCCGGGAGUAGCGGUGAAAUGCGUAGAGACCCGGAGGAACACCAGUGGCGAAGGCGGCUUCCUGGUCUGCGACUGACGCUGUGGCGCGAAAGCUAGGGGAGCGAACGGG